rnacentral:misc_RNA from 1 species
AACUUUUAGCAACGGAUCUCUUGGUUCUGGCAUCGAUGAAGAACGCAGCGAAAUGCGAUAAGUAAUGAGAAUUGCAGAAUUCAGUGAACCAUCGAAUCUUUGAACGCACAUUGCGCCCGCCAGUAUUCUGGCGGGCAUGCCUGUUCGAGCGUCCUUUCAACCCUCAAGCCCCCGGGCCUGGUGUUGGGGAUCGGCGUGCCCUCGGGGCGCGCCGCCCCCUAAAUCUCGUGGCGGUCUCGCUGCAGCGUCCUCUGCGUAGUAGCACUCCGCGCACCGGAGGGCUGCGCGGCCACGCCGUGAAACCCCCCACUUCUGAAAGGUUGACCUCGGAUCAGGUAGGAAUACCCGCUGGACUUAAGCAUAUCAAUAAGCGGAGGCU